rnacentral:rRNA from 1 species
UUACCUGGUUGAUCCUGCCAGUAGUCAUAUGCUUGUCUCAAAGAUUAAGCCAUGCAUGUCUAAGUACAGGCCGAACCAAGGCGAAACCGCGAAUGGCUCAUUAAAUCAGUUAUGGUUCAUUGGAUCUUACCUUGUUUUACUUGGAUAACUGUGGUAAUUCUAGAGCUAAUACGUGACACCCCAGCUCCGACCGCAAGGAAAGAGCGCUUUUAUUAGAUCAAAACCAAUCGGGCUUCGGUCCGUUCUCACUGUGGUGACUCUGAAUAACUUUGAGCUGAGCGCAUGGUCUUCGAACCGGCGCCAUAUCCUUCAAGUGUCUGCCUUAUCAGCUUUCGAUUGUAGGUUAUGCGCCUACAAUGGCUAUAACGGGUAACGGGGAAUCAGGGUUCGAUUCCGGAGAGGGAGCCUGAGAAACGGCUACCACAUCUAAGGAAGGCAGCAGGCACGCAAAUUACCCACUCCCGGCUCGGGGAGGUAGUGACGAAAAAUAACGAUGCGGGACUCUUCCGAGGCCUCGCAAUCGGAAUGAGCACACUUUAAAUCCUUUAACGAGGAUCUAUUGGAGGGCAAGUCUGGUGCCAGCAGCCGCGGUAAUUCCAGCUCCAAUAGCGUAUAUUAAAGUUGCUGCGGUUAAAAAGCUCGUAGUUGGAUCUCAGUUCCGGACCGACGGUUCACCGCCCGGUGCUUACUGUCGGCUUCCGAACAGCCGCACGCCGGCUCGGCCAGGGUGCUCUUCAUCGAGUGUCCUGGUUUCGGCCGGCACGUUUACUUUGAAAAAAUUAGAGUGCUCAGCGCAGGCUGCAACGCCUGAAUAAUCUGUGCAUGGAAUAAUGGAAUAGGACCUCGGUUCUAUUUUGUUGGUUUUCGGAACCCGAGGUAAUGAUUAAUAGGAACUGUCGGGGGCAUUCGUAUUGCGACGUUAGAGGUGAAAUUCUUGGAUCGUCGCAAGACGGACUACUGCGAAAGCAUUUGCCAAGAAUGUUUUCAUUAAUCAAGAACGAAAGUUAGAGGUUCGAAGGCGAUCAGAUACCGCCCUAGUUCUAACCAUAAACGAUGCCAACCAGCGAUCCGCCGGCGUUAUUCCCAUGACUCGGCGGGCAGCUUCCGGGAAACCAAAGUCUCUGGGUUCCGGGGGAAGUAUGGUUGCAAAGCUGAAACUUAAAGGAAUUGACGGAAGGGCACCACCAGGAGUGGAGCCUGCGGCUUAAUUUGACUCAACACGGGGAACCUCACCAGGCCCGGACACCGGAAGGAUUGACAGAUUGAGAGCUCUUUCUCGAUUCGGUGGGUGGUGGUGCAUGGCCGUUCUUAGUUGGUGGAGCGAUUUGUCUGGUUAAUUCCGAUAC